rnacentral:rRNA from 1 species
GACGAACGCUGGCGGCGUGCUUAACACAUGCAAGUCGAACGGAAAGGCCCUGCUUUUGUGGGGUGCUCGAGUGGCGAACGGGUGAGUAACACGUGAGUAACCUGCCCUUGACUUUGGGAUAACUUCAGGAAACUGGGUCUAAUACCGGAUAGGAGCUCCUGCUGCAUGGUGGGGGUUGGAAAGUUUCGGCGGUUGGGGAUGGACUCGCGGCUUAUCAGCUUGUUGGUGGGGUAGUGGCUUACCAAGGCUUUGACGGGUAGCCGGCCUGAGAGGGUGACCGGCCACAUUGGGACUGAGAUACGGCCCAGACUCCUACGGGAGGCAGCAGUGGGGAAUAUUGCACAAUGGGCGGAAGCCUGAUGCAGCAACGCCGCGUGCGGGAUGACGGCCUUCGGGUUGUAAACCGCUUUCGCCUGUGACGAAGCGUGAGCGACGGUAAUGGGUAAAGAAGCACCGGCUAACUACGUG